AAGCCGUACCAAAAAAAAGGUGAGCUUCUAUAUAUACCAAACGGUUAGAAUAUAAAGGCCCAAGUCAAAUAAUUCGCAGCCCAGCUAAUUCAAAAUCUUCCCCCUUCGAAUUCCGUCGGCGAUUUUUUCUCUCCGGUGCCGUCGUCUUGUUGCCGUUGAACGUUUAUCGUUACCGCCUACCGCAGAUACAACUGUCAAGCGAUUCAAUCGUUGGUUCAAGGGUGAGACUGAACAGAUUUUGCCAUGUCUGCACCUGCUAAAAGAAGUUCUACAGAUACUCAGGAGAAAGAUCUAAUGCUCGAUAAAGACAUGGAAAACGAUACAUGGAACUUUAAGUCAAUGACAGAUGAUGAUCCAAUGGAUUUUGGCUUUGACUCACCAGCAAAAACUAAGAAGAAUGCCUUCAAGCUGGAUAUGGGUUUCGAUCUGGAUGGAGAUUUUGGAUCAUCAUUUAAAAUGGACAUGCCAGACUUUGAUUUCUCAAGCCCAGCCAAGAAAACCACAAAAACGAAAGAAAGCUCUGAUGAUAAACCUAGUGGAAAUUCAAAACAGAAAAAGAAUCCAUUUGCCUUCUCUUACGACUUUGAUGCGUUAGACGACUUUGAUCUUGGUUCAAGCCCCCCGAAGAAGGGAAGCAAGACUACGACCAAGACCAUGGACUGCAAAGAAAUUUCUGCAAGUAGAAAGGUUGAUAAGUCAGACGAUUUGGACUUUGGUCUAGACUUACCAAUAACUAGACAAGCUCCCUCCAAGGCAAAUACAGAUGUUCAGGCAAAAGCUUCAGCUGAAAAAGAGAACCAAAAUUCCAAGACUACAGAUACUAUUGUUGUUAAUAAGAGCACACACUCGAGUCAAGCUGCAUUAGAGAGCAUGGGAGACUUUGAGGCGGUGGAAUCACCUCAGGGUUCAAGAAAAAAAACCUCACAAACUCAUACAUUGUGUGUGCAACCUCAAUCCGUAGAUACUUCACCAUUAAAGACAUCAUGUUCAAUGGUUGAAGAAAUGGAUGAACCAUGUCCUUCAAAUGAGACCGUAGCACCCUCGCCAUUACAUGCUUCUGAGAUUGCACAUACUGCAGUAAACAGAGAAACCAGUCCAGAUAUCCACGAACUCUGCAGGUCUGGUACAAAAGAAGACUGUCCUAGAGAUCCAGAAAAUGCCAACAAGAAAAUGAUUUCCACCAUGGAAUCAAGUUAUGAGAAGAUAGAACAGACUUCACCAAGCAUCUCAUCUCAGUUAUGUUCAGACAAGAUAGAACAUCAACAGGAAGAAAUGAGUACAGACACUCAGGCAGAAUUACAGGAUAACACUAAAGGAGCACUGUGUGACCCAGAUGCUGGACAUUCUCUAACAACCCUCUCAGGCAAAAUAUCACCAGGCACUCGUCCAAGCCAAACUGCCAAGGUACAAGAUUUGAGUGAAAAGCUACCACUGGAUCCGUCCCACAGCAUGCCAGGGCUCAAUAAUUUGAGGGCCAUGCAAAACAAAGAUUCAGGACUUAUCAGAUCCAGAUUUUUUAAUAAGCCAGAAAAACCAGAAUCUCAUGUGCUUGAGUCUUCUCCAAUUCAAACAGAGAUUCAGCCAGUUACCCGAGAAAACAUUGGGUCGAGUUUGAACCCUACAAAUGAUAGGAGACAUGAUAUUAAAGACGCGUUACCUGGAUCCAAAACUAGAUCAUGUCCAAUUGAGCUUGUCAACACGGAGUCCGCCAAAAAUGCAGCAAAUGUUAAUACGAGCAGCAGUUCUCAUGAAAAGAUCAUCCACAAGGCCCAUUCAAAUGCCAAGACUGUAGAAAAUGUGGCUGGACAGAUGGAUCAUUUAAAGCUGCAAGCUAAAAAUACAACUAGAGAGAAGUCCAUCUUGCAGAUCAAUAUAAGCUCAAAACUCGAUGCUUCUAGCUUGACUCAGAAACUAAGCAAACAUUUGAGUUCCGGAGCUGAAUCUUUGCAGAAGCCCAAAAUGAUAUCUCUCGAAAGGCCUAAACUUGGAAAUAUUACGGCUGAUCUGCGUGCAGUGAAAACUCAAAGGGCCAUUGGAGUAAAUAAAGACCAACCGAGUUCGGCAGUGCAACCAGAGCUUAGCUCUUCUAUAAGCAAGGAGAGAAAUACUGAAGCACCAGUAAAAAAGAGCUCUGAGAUUCAUCAUUUGGCUCCUAGGGACAAAACACAAAUCCUGCACUGCCCAUCUUCUUUAAAGCGGAAAGCUCUUGAUGAGGAUGCAGAUAGAUCACUGAAGCCACAGCUUAAACGCUUUUCCAUGUCUCCAAGAGAAAACAGGAACGUUGAGGAGCUCACACAUAGAGCUGUGCAAGGAAAGUUCUCAAGCCAAGAGAGUAGAAUAGAUAAUAGUACAACCAAGGAGCCUGUCAAGGAAAGUCCACAGACUAAGUCUCAUUACCAGAACAUGAACAUGGCAAAUCUGGAAAUCCCAAUCACGGAGAAUGCUGACAACAUAGAGAAAGCUGAAGCAUAUACAAAAGAACUCGACAAUAUUUGCAACAUCCUGAAGAAGAAACAUGAGGAAGCAAAAGAGUUACUUGUCCGUGCUGUAGUAAACAACAAUAAGCUACUGAUGCUCAACCAUCCUUUAUAUGAAGACCAGAUUCGUAUGGUCCAGAAGUUCGCAGCCAAGUUGACUUUAAGGGACACAUGAUGAACACUCAAACAAGUGUAGCUUAAGAGGCACAAGGUUCAGUGGGACUUACACCAACAAGUUAUCGUCAAAAGUCCAGAAAUGUUGACGUCACAUUAGUCCAAGACUGUUAAGAUUUCAGGUUUAUCUUGUUAACAAGUGAUAGUCAAAUAACAAGUUUAUCUAGAAAUGGAAUUUCUGACGAAAGUCAGACUGAUGCAAAAGACAGAGAAGAACGCAAUAAAGAGAGUAACAAUUUGACACACAGAGAUUAAGAGCAUUUUCGUCGAUCUCCAGAUAUUUUCAGCUAAGUGUAUAAGUGUAUUGCCAGUUUGCCACUAUAUAUACCUUCAUGUAAAUUCUUUCCCCAACUUGUGGUAUCUCAUGUAAUUGUUCACAGAAAAAAACACUGAUCAAUCCCAUUUAAGAAGAAAAAAAAGAAGUAAAUUAUUUUUAUGUCGCCACUAAAAUGCAACGUCAAAAUAAACGUCACUAAAGCUCUAGUGGUUUACUGAUGUUGUAUAGUGUUUUGGAUAAACAAAUUUGCUGACACAAUGGCAUUUAUAAUGAAAUCUGGAUGUGGAUAAGUUAAAAACAUAAUUACAGAGUUAAGAAAUUUGAAUGGUUCGAAACUUAUCCUUUAACUAAAUCACUUUAACCUCGACUUAGUGGAAUCUUAAACUACACUACCAUAUACACGUCCAGACAAAAGGAAUUACAGACUAUAAUACCUUUUCUCGAUGGUUGAAACUUUUUUGAAUAUUCUUCAUGUAAUGAAAUCUCCUGAUGACUGAUGAGUCAAAUGUGUAGACAAAAAAUAGUGAAAAUCUUCGACUAACCAAUACAAAACCUACACAAAACCCAUAAGUGCACUCAGGCCUUUGACUUCAUUUUCAUAUUUUAUAUCUUUUUCUAUCUUAUUGGACUUUCAUGAAUCACCCUCCUCGUCCAUUAUCAUUACCUCGUAUUAUUAUUAUUAACUCUCUCUCUCUCACACUUACGUAAUACUAUAAUAUUUGUGUAUGCGCAUGCAUAUAUCAAUAUAUAAUGUUACUGGAUAGGGACGGUCGAGUUAUAAAUAGUGUAAGGUUUGGUAUAGAAUAUUAUUGCUUUAUUCAUAUUUAAUUAUUUGAUUAUAAUUAGCACUUGAAGCCGUCUCUUAUCGCUUUUUGACUCUCCAAUGUAAAUACAUAAGAUUCAUAUCUUUCUUAAUUUUGAUUAUGUAAUUACGGAAAACGAUCGUAUGUAAAUGGAUAAAACUUUAUCCUUCUUAUUUGAACAAUCCACAUUUCACUAA